CUCCACCCAGUUCGAGCUUCCAGGCCGCUUUGUUUACCUAAUCAAACAACUAACUAGGCAGUGUCGGGCGCCCCUCCCCCAGCCUCGCUGCCGCCUUGCAGUUUGAUCUCGGACUGGUGUGCUAGCAAUGAGGGAGACUCCGUGGGCAUACAACCUUCUGAGCCAGAACCUGGAUGUUGACGGGGCCACCUCUGAUCUUGUGAGGAACUAGUCGGCGAGCAAUUGCUGAAGCUGCAAAAGGCAGAGAAGAAUAGCUAUCCAACAGCUUUCUCCCUGAAAAACAUGGAAACUGGAGCCAGAAACUAGCAACUGGCUUUGUUCCUGUGGGCUGCAGUCAGCUGGUACCUGAACCUGAAGUGACACCUCGAAUCAAGGAGCCUGACAUACAUCGAUGAGAUGCAUAAGACAGCAGUCCUUGCCUCCUGGGACUUACAAAAGAUGAAGAAGACUAGGCUCCUGAGAACCUCUUGCGUAAGAACGGGGCCAGGUCCUUGAAGAUGCAAACACAGUCCCUGGGGAAGGCAAGAUGCUG
rnacentral:lncRNA from 1 species